CUGCCUUACAGAGGGGGAUAACAGUGCGAAAGCACUGCUAAUACCGCAUGAAAUUGCGAUACCGCAUGGUAAUGCAAUCAAAGGAGAAAUCCGCACUAAGAUGGGCCCGCGGCUGAUUAGCUAGUUGGUGAGGUAAGGGCUCACCAAGGCGACGAUCAGUAGCCGACCUGAGAGGGUGACCGGCCACACUGGAACUGAGACACGGUCCAGACUCCUACGGGAGGCAGCAGUGGGGAAUAUUGCGCAAUGGGGGAAACCCUGACGCAGCAACGCCGCGUGGAGGAUGAAGGUCUUCGGAUUGUAAACUCCUGUCUUCUGGGAAGAAUGCUUGACGGUACCAGAGGAGGAAGCCACGGCUAACUACGUGCCAGCAGCCGCGGUAAUACGUAGGUGGCGAGCGUUGUCCGGAAUUACUGGGCGUAAAGGGCGCGUAGGCGGCCUUCUAAGUCAGAUGUGAAAUCCCUGGGCUUAACCCGGGUAGUGCAUUUGAAACUGGAAGGCUUGAGUGCAGGAGAGGUAAGUGGAAUUCCUAGUGUAGCGGUGAAAUGCGUAGAUAUUAGGAGGAACACCAGUGGCGAAGGCGACUUACUGGACUGUAACUGACGCUGAGGCGCGAAAGCGUGGGGAGCAAACAGGAUUAGAUACCCUGGUAGUCCACGCUGUAAACGAUGGAUACUAGGUGUGGGAGGUAUCGACCCCUUCCGUGCCGCAGUAAACGCAAUAAGUAUCCCGCCUGGGGAGUACGGCCGCAAGGUUGAAACUCAAAGGAAUUGACGGGGGCCCGCACAAGCAGCGGAGCAUGUGGUUUAAUUCGAAGCAACGCGAAGAACCUUACCAGGACUUGACAUCCUCUGAAUUACUCGUAACUGAGGAAACCCUUCGGGGCAGAGAGACAGGUGGUGCAUGGUUGUCGUCAGCUCGUGUCGUGAGAUGUUGGGUUAAGUCCCGCAACGAGCGCAACCCUUAUCAUUAGUUGCUAACAGUAAGAUGAGCACUCUAAUGAGACUGCCGGGGACAACUCGGAGGAAGGUGGGGAUGACGUCAAAUCAUCAUGCCCCUUAUGUUCUGGGCUACACACGUGCUACAAUGGGUAAAACAACGGGAAGCAAGCUAGUGAUAGCAAGCAAAUCCCUAAAAGCCGCUCUCAGUUCGGAUUGUAGGCUGCAACUCGCCUACAUGAAGUUGGAGUUGCUAGUAAUCGCGAAUCAGCAUGUCGCGGUG
rnacentral:rRNA from 1 species